rnacentral:rRNA from 1 species
GACGAACCGUGCGAACGUUAUUCGGAAUCACUGGGCUUAAAGGGCGCGUAGGCGGCUUGAUAAGCGUGCGGUGAAAGCCCGGGGCUCAACCCCGGGUCGGCCGUGCGAACUGUCGAGCUGGAGCACUGUAGAGGCAGGUGGAAUUCCGGGUGUAGCGGUGGAAUGCGUAGAGAUCCGGAAGAACACCGGUGGCGAAGGCGGCCUGCUGGGCAGUGGCUGACGCUGAGGCGCGACAGCGUGGGGAGCAAACAGG